GCUGGUUCUUGAUUUCUCUCUACAGUCUGUGCUUAGCCUGGUCUUUUCUCUUUGCUCAAUAUUCUUUCUAAACUUCUGUCUUUGAUCCAUGUUUGGUCUAGAAAUCUCUCUACAAUCUGUGCUCUUCCGGGGAUUCCCCGCUUGAUCUGUGACUGGCACAGAUCCAUUUCUAAGAUGAGAUGAUCUCUCAAUAGCUGAUAUGAACUUCUUGAGAUGUUUGAUGUAUUGAGGAUAAAGCUCCAAGUCACAAUGAUUUCCUCCCUUCACCCAUAAUGGUUCAUAUUUCUCUUUACAAAGAUCCCAAAGCUGCUUACCAUGGGACCAAUC
rnacentral:misc_RNA from 1 species